rnacentral:lncRNA from 1 species
UGGUACUUACCUGAGCAUCCACAACGUCAAAUCAGAUUUAUGCAUACUAUAUUAAAUCAUAGUCUAAGAAUAAUUCAAUAGGCAUAGCAUUUCAAGGCAUACUUUCAUUUAAACACAUUUUUUGGGAAAAAUACCAAGUAUAUAAGUAUAUACUGAAAACCAAAAGCCCACUCACUAAUAUGUGGAAGGGUCGUAGCCCCCGAGUCUCGCUUGAUUACGCUCGUCAUCAGGAUAUGUUGAUGUGGUAAAAACUAACACACAAAUUAAACCCUAUUAAAGUUGUAGUAUGUGAAAGUAGGGAUCGUUCUAGGCCGGGGGUUAAUUAGGGAUGCUAAUCAACGCAAAUUAAACUUAAAAACUGAAACUAGACUCAAACAAGUCAAAACAGGCCAAACUGACUCAAAUAACACAAAACUAAAUCAAAUUGACUCAAAACAAUACUAGAAUGUAAUUUGGACGAAAAUUGAACUAGGAAGACUCAAAACACUAAAAAGAACCCAGUUUGGACAGAUUCUAACCUAAAGACAUGAAAUAUAAAGGGGAAUUGAUUUUUGACGAAUUUGAAGUAAAAACAAACAGAUUUCAGACUCCAAAUAACUUUGAACGAAAUUGGUGAUUUAAAGGGGUUAAUGGCUAGCUAGAGGGCCCUUCUCCACACAUGACACAUAUGCAUCCAAAUCGAUUUCAAGUUAUUCUUCCAAUAAACCAUGAAUGACAAUGCCCCAAAUUAAUUGUGAGAAGCACAAAUUAACUUUCAUAUUUUCCUAAAUUCAUUGAAUUGGACUCAGCGACACAACCAAAUUAUUCUUAUCAAGUUCCCUAUAUGAACAACAUGAUAGAGAUACAUAUCAUUAAGUUCCAUGAAAAUCAUAAGCAUUGACAAGGCAUUCGUAACUAUGAAUUACAUGAUACUCCUACCAAGAAUUCACUUAACACAAUCAUGACUAGUGACUAUUACUACUUGUGAAUAUAAGUUCAUAACGAUUAGGUGAAAUUCCCUUAUAUCCUAGCAUCAAAUUCAUGCAUACAAACUAAGUAGGCCUCCUUAAUCAACACACAAGAACAAGUUAUCAAUCAAACAGAUAAGUAAAUUGCAUUCACGAUUUAUGAAAUCAUAACUGGAUGUAAUCAAUUCAUAUCACAUAUAUGUUCAUGGCUUUGAAUUCACCUCUAACUAAAUCGAAAUUAGUUCCACAUGGGUGCAAUUAAACAAAAACAAUCUAAUUUAAACAUUGAACUAAAACUAAGGAUAUAACAGACCUAGGAACGUUCCAGCAAUCCAAAGCCUUGAAUGGCAGGCACGGCUCCAAGGGUCUCCUCUCUUUCCUUCCUUGCAAAGCUGAGCACAAUUGUAUUUUUCUCAUGUUUUGGCUCUUGUUUGUGGUGCGCGAAAUUGUGGUGAUAAAUAUGUAUUUAUAGGCCUAGGGUUUGCACAAUUUCUGAAGGAAAAAGGGUUGCACAAUCCUAGGAUGAAAAGGACUAGGGAAUUCGGCACAAAGCUUCUAGAAAAGAAGGGAUUAAAUUCGUCAGAUUUCUAGGCGAAAAAGGGAUUAGGUUAUUUGCAUUGUUUCAGGGCUUCUAGAAUAAGAUAUUAGGUAUUCUAAUGUGAUAAGGAGUCCCCCUUGCAGCUGGAAUUAAGAUAGAAUAGGAUUAGGAUAGGAUAAGAUAAGAUAAGGUUAGUUUGGAUAAUGUUGGAUAAGAUAAGGUUGGUUAAGAUAAUGUUCCUUCCUUUUAGCUAAUUCCUUAUCUUCUUUGUCUUGACUUUAUUUUCUUCAUCUCAUCAGCACAUUCCUAGCCUCUUGAACUCCAAAAACGUCCAUCCACCUUGCUUCAUACAUGUGCUAUCCAUUCUUGGCCCAAAACUGCUCCAAAUUGCACUUUCUUGCCAACUUUGUCAUUUGAACCUGAAAACACACGAAAACAGUUUAAAACACUCUAAUAAGUAGAAACUAGCUAUGAAAAUGCAAGAAAACAAACUAACUAAGUCGUAUAAAUAUGCUCCUAUCAUAGGUCUCACCUAUAUGCGAAACAACUAUAUAAACGUUAUUUUAAAGCACAUACACAAAACUAGGUAAUAACUUCUCAUACAUUGCUCAAUUGGUGUUUGAAUAUACCAACAUGAUCUACUCAACUCCACGAACAAUCCCAUAUGUUUAGAAAAAAUUUCGAUCACCCACGCGCCCUCACACGUUGGCCAAGGCACCUGCCUGGCACACCAAACGGAAUCCCUAAUGGCGUUAGGGAAUAUUCCAUAAAAAAUCAGCAUAUACCAUUAUAUAUACCUAACGCCGUUAGCAUAUUCCGUCAACUUUGAUGGAAUAUUCUCCUCCUUCAACCUUGGUUUGCCAGAUUCUGGUGCCGGUGACCACUACGAUUGCCGGAUUCUGGGAAAUUUUUAAAUCUUAAUAUCUCAACCAAUUCUCAACCAAAAUUCAUGAAAUUUAUACCAAAAUGAAGCUUAGGACUAGAGGAACACAUCCUUACCACUUUUAGGUCCUAAAUCCAAUGAAAUCUCGUCGGAAAAAUUCGAGGAAACCGGUUGCAACUAUAAAAACCCUAGUGUUCCUAUGUCAAAACCACUCCAAAAUGAUCCAACGAGCUAGAAAAGCAAGAAUAUUACCUUCUUAGGUCUCGAAACAACCUAAAACCUUCGCGAUCACGUCGGAGGAAUUUCCAUUCCUUAUCGGAGCUCUGGUAACUCAGGUUCUACAAGUCCUCACGUCCAACCAAGGGUAUAGAUCGACUCCUGAGCUUGCAAGGAGUCCAAAGAUACCAUUCACUACCUUGAUCUGUGCCUGAAAGGGUUGGUUCAUGAGUUGAUCGUACAAUUGUACCGAAAAUGAAAGAAAUCCGAGAGGGAAUGAGAGAGAGAGGGUCCAAGGGUUAGUGUGUGUGUGUGUGUGAAAAUGUGUGAUCCAGGUCUAGGCAACCAAACAAAACAAAUAAAACUUAAAUUCUAAUUAGGUCCAAGAGCUAAGGAAGAAAAUGAAUUGAUCCAAAACCUUAGCCCAUUCACACACACAUAACUCAACGCUCAAGGGUAUAAAAGUCAUUUCACACUAUCGACAAUAUAUUUCGAGACGAGCUAUCAUGGCCUGCCUUCACAUCAAAACGUAAAAUAGACUCCUUAAAUGUAAACGCAGCUUUGUGAUGUGAAAAAUAAGUUAACACACAAAUUAAACCCUCUUGUUGACAAUUGUAGUAUAUGUAUAAGUAGGGAUCGUUCUAAACCGGGGAUUAGGAGGGCUUGCUAAAACCUCUAA